UCCUGGUUUCCCAGGCAGUCUCACCAGAGUGCCCCUAAAAGGGUAGCAACUGGCGACAGGAGUUGCGCUCGUUAAAGGACUUAACCUAACAUCUCACGACACGAGCUGACGACAGCCAUGCAGCACCUGUGCAGAUGCUCAGGAUUGCUCCUGAGAAAUCAUGUUUCCACAAUAGUCAUAAGCAUGUCAAGCCCAGGUAAGGUUUCUCGCGUAGUGUCGAAUUAAACCACAUGUUCCACCGCUUGUGCGGGCCCCCGUCAAUUUCUUUGAGUUUUAAUCUUGCGACCGUACUCUUCAGGUGGAUCACUUAACGCGUUAGCUGCGACACCCAGGCAAAGCCCAAACGUCUAGUGAUCAUCGUUUACUGCAUGGACUAC
rnacentral:misc_RNA from 1 species